rnacentral:lncRNA from 1 species
AGAAUGACUUAAUUAAGCACCAGUGGGGAUUACAAGAAGGUGAAGAUAAUAAAAAUGAGCUUGUGGUUGAAGAAUAAAGUGUAUUUUUUUAAAGUUUUUAUUAGCACCCCACAAAAUGUUGAAUGCACCCCACAUUAAAAUUUAAUAUUAAAUGACUUAUUUAUUCCAUUAUGCAAUGACAAUUUUGACCUUAUUAGGGUUAAAAAAUUCUAAAUACACCCCAAAUCAUUUUUAGCGUUCUUCUCAACUAUAAAAAAAUGUUUUGAGCUAAAAGCCAUUCAUAAAAUUGGACUCUAAAAGCUCUGUAGUUCUUUCCUUUGUUUUUACUGGUUUUGAUUGGCUGAGACGGGAUUCACUCGGUGGUUGCCUCGUGCUUAGGACUUGCCAAAUCAGUCUAUUCAGGUCAAUCAGUAGUUUGUGGCUUGGCUGUGCUUCCUUGAGGCCACACAUUGGACAAUUACAUGCAACAAUAUGUAGGACUAUGCAGAAGGGCUGGUGACAAUAAAGUUGGCCAUUUUUAUACAAGCUUACUUGGCCACCAAGCUUAUAACCCCUCACAUAAAUCACAAUCAUAUUGAAGUUGGUGAAGAUGAACAUGCAUCAUAAAUUAACAGCACUCAUACAAAUAAUUAAGUUUAAUUAACUCAGAAGGUAUGUAUAAAAAGCCCUAAUUGGUGAUCUGCUAAUUACCCUUAGUCAUAUGGCGAUGAAUCGAACAUGAAAGAUCAUAGAUUAGUAAUUAAUCACAUUAAUCUUGUAGUUGCGGAUGUGUUGUUGUGGAGGAAUAUAAGGUGUAUAUUGUGGAGG